UACAGAGGUGCCGAGCGUUAGGCGGAAUCACUGGGCUUAAAGCGUGUGUAGGCGGACGUCUAAGUACCUUGUGAAAUCCCACGGCUCACCCGUGGAACUGCUGGGUAUACUGGGCGUCUUGAGCCACCUAGGGGCCAGCGGAACAAAUGGUGGAGCGGUGAAAUGCGUAGAUAUCAUUUGGAACGCCAACGGUGAAAACAGCUGGCUGGGGGUGUGCUGACGCCGAGACACGAAAGCCAGGGGAGCGAACGGG
rnacentral:rRNA from 1 species